rnacentral:lncRNA from 1 species
CCUGGCUAAAGCAGCGAUCCACAGCCUUGCUUCUGAUUUAAUGUGACACCGAGGCUGGGAAACAAUAUUAUCCCAGUGUUUUCUGCAGCAGGGAAACCACCAUCGGCUGCGGUUGGUGUUUAAGGUACCCCUGCUGAAAGCGUGGUAAGGCUCACUCAGAGAGGUUCUCCUGCAAGGAAUGGUGUUAAGGUGAGAAAAAUAUAAGAUCACCUCUUGUAGUGGCCCUUUCAGUCUUGGUUGCAGGACUAAAUCUUGCCAGGAACUCAGGUUUUAUAUUCAGGUUGGUACCACCAGCAGCAACCUUGAAGAGUUGCACAGAAAACCAACAUACAUGGUUAGAGUACAACAGUGCUUAAAAUAGGUAAGUUUGCAUCCUAGACUAAAAUUUAAAAAUAUUUACAUGUAUGUGUGCACAUCUCUGUGCAUAACCAGCACCUUUU